rnacentral:tRNA from 1 species
GCCGCAAGCGUGAUGAAGCGGAUAACAUCCGGAAGCGCACCGGUAUCAUUGGUUCAAAUCCAAUCGUUGCGGCA